rnacentral:rRNA from 1 species
GACGAACGCUGGCGGCGUGCCUAAUACAUGCAAGUCGAACGCAUUUUCUUUCACCGUAGCUUGCUACACCGAAAGAAAAUGAGUGGCGAACGGGUGAGUAACACGUGGGUAACCUGCCCAUCAGCGGGGGAUAACACUUGGAAACAGGUGCUAAUACCGCAUAAUUCCAUUUACUGCAUGGUAGAUGGAUGAAAGGCGCUUUUGCGUCACUGAUGGAUGGACCCGCGGUGCAUUAGCUAGUUGGUGGGGUAACGGCCUACCAAGGCUGCGAUGCAUAGCCGACCUGAGAGGGGGAUCGGCCACACUGGGAUGGAGACACGGCCCAGACUCCUACGGGAGGCAGCAGUAGGGAAUCUUCGGCAAUGGACGCAAGUCUGACCGAGCAACGCCGCGUGAGUGAAGAAUGUUUUCGGAUCGUAAAACUCUGUUGUUAGAAAAGAACAAGGAUGGGAGUGGAAAGUUCAUCCCUUGACGGUAUCUAACCAGAAAGCCACGGCUAACUACGUG